GAUGAACGCUGGCGGCGUGCCUAAUACAUGCAAGUCGAGCGGCAGCACGGUCUUCGGACUGGCGGCGAGCGGCGGACGGCUGAGUAACGCGUAGGAACAUGCCCUAAAGUGAGGAAUAACUGCCCGAAAGGGUGGCUAAUGCCGCAUGUGCUCUACGGAUUAAAGCAUUUAUGCGCUAAGGGAGGGGCCUGCGUCUGAUUAGCUAGUUGGUGAGGUAAAAGCUCACCAAGGCGACGAUCAGUAGCUGGAUCGAGAGGUUGACCAGCCACACUGGGACUGAGAUACGGCCCAGACUCCUACGGGAGGCAGCAGUGAGGAAUCUUCCACAAUGGGCGAAAGCCUGAUGGAGCAAUGCCGCGUGCAGGAUGACGGCCUUCGGGUUGUAAACUGCUUUUAUAUGGGAAGAUUAUGACGGUACCAUAUGAAUAAGGACCGGCUAACUACGUGCCAGCCGCCGCAGUAA
rnacentral:rRNA from 1 species